CCUACGGGUGGCUGCAGUGGGGUAUAUUGGACAAUGGGGGGAACCCUGAUCCAGCCAUGCCGCGUGUGUGAAGAAGGCCCUCGGGUUGUAAAGCACUUUCAGUGAGGAAGAACGCCUGGUGGUUAAUACCCAUCAGGAAAGACAUCACUCACAGAAGAAGCACCGGCUAACUCCGUGCCAGCAGCCGCGGUAAUACGGAGGGUGCGAGCGUUAAUCGGAAUUACUGGGCGUAAAGCGCGCGUAGGUGGCUUGAUAAGCCGGUUGUGAAAGCCCCGGGCUCAACCUGGGAACGGCAUCCGGAACUGUCAAGCUAGAGUGCAGGAGAGGAAGGUAGAAUUCCCGGUGUAGCGGUGAAAUGCGUAGAGAUAGGGAGGAAUACCAGUGGCGAAGGCGGCCUUCUGGACUGACACUGACACUGAGGUGCGAAAGCGUGGGUAGCAAACAGGAUUAGAUACCCGUGUAGUC
rnacentral:rRNA from 1 species